rnacentral:RNase_P_RNA from 1 species
GAAAUUAACCAGACAAUCGCUGCUUUGUUGUAGUCCUUGUUAAAGAGGAGACAAACAAAGGGGAGGAAAGUCCGGGCUCCAUAGGGCAGAGUGCCAGGUAACGCCUGGGGAAUUUUGGCGUGAGCUAAAAUUUACGACUAGUGCAACAGAGAGUAUACCGCCGAUGGCUUAUAGUUAUUAAGAUCAGGUAAGGGUGAAAGGGUGCGGUAAGAGCGCACCGCGCAACUGGUAACAGUUGUGGCACGGUAAACUCCACUCGGAGCAAGGUCAAAUAGGGAUUCAUUGGCGCGGCCCGCGUUGAAUCCGGGUAGACUGCUUGAGCUAAUGCGUGAGUAUUAGCCUAGAGGAAUGAUUGUCCACGACAGAACCCGGCUUAUCGGUUAAUUUCAAUU